CCUGACGGUAGUCGUAUGCUCGUCUCCGAGACUAAGCCAUGCAAGUCCAAGUACACGUCCUUGAACGACGGAAACUGCGAACGGCUCAUUAAAUCAGUUGCGAUCUACUCGGCGUUCCGCGCCGCCGGAUAACCGUAGUAAUUCUAGGGCUAAUACGUGCGAAGCGCCCGAAGCCGCGAGGCGACGGGCGUUCUCGCCGGAUGUAGGAACCGACCCCGGGGACCGCCCGGGGGCAAACCCCGGGCGCCCCCCGAGACGGGGCGAACCACGGUGAAAUGACGGAUCGUCGGCCCCGCGCCCGGCGACUCGCCGAAUGAGUUUCUGACCUAUCAACUCGAGACGGCGGGGUAGAGGCCCGCCGCGGUAACGACGGGUAACGGGGAAUCAGGGUUCGAUUCCGGAGAGGGAGCCCGAGAAACGGCUACCACUUCCAAGGAAGGCAGCAGGCGCGCAACUUACCCUAAUCUCGAUUCGAGGAGGUAGUGACAAG
rnacentral:rRNA from 1 species